CAGACUCAAGGUGAUGGUGUUCCACCUUUCCCAACCGCCACGGUUAUUUGUGGCUGAUGACGCCUGAUUUUUU
rfam:Oxalobacter formigenes HOxBLS genomic scaffold supercont2.2, whole genome shotgun sequence.